UGGAGCGGUGACCGAGUGGCCGAAGGUGGCUCCCUGCUAAGGAGUUGUGCCCCUAAAGGGUACCGGGGGUUCGAAUCCCCCCUGCUCCGU
rnacentral:tRNA from 1 species